ACAUGCAAGUCGAGGGGCAGCAUAUUUCUAGCAAUAGAAACGAUGGCGACCGGCGCACGGGUGAGUAACACGUAUCCAACCUACCUUUUACUCGGAGAUAGCCUUUCGAAAGAAAGAUUAAUAUCCGAUAGUAUAAAAAAAUCCCAUGAUUUUGUUAUUAAAGAAUUUCGGUAAAAGAUGGGGAUGCGUUCCAUUAGAUUGUAGGCGGGGUAACGGCCCACCUAGUCAUCGAUGGAUAGGGGUUCUGAGAGGAAGGUCCCCCACAUUGGAACUGAGACACGGUCCAAACUCC
rnacentral:rRNA from 1 species